rnacentral:rRNA from 1 species
CCUACGGGGGGCAGCAGUGGGGAAUAUUGGACAAUGGGCGAAAGCCUGAUCCAGCCAUGCCGCGUGUGUGAAGAAUGCCUUCGGGUUGUAAAGCACUUUCAGUGGGGAAGAAAGCCUUGGGGCUAAUACCCUCGAGGAAGGACAUCACCCACAGAAGAAGCACCGGCUAACUCCGUGCCAGCAGCCGCGGUAAUACGGAGGGUGCGAGCGUUAAUCGGAAUUACUGGGCGUAAAGCGCGCGUAGGCGGUCUGAUAAGCCGGUUGUGAAAGCCCCGGGCUCAACCUGGGAACGGCAUCCGGAACUGUCAGGCUAGAGUGCAGGAGAGGAAGGUAGAAUUCCCGGUGUAGCGGUGAAAUGCGUAGAGAUCGGGAGGAAUACCAGUGGCGAAGGCGGCCUUCUGGACUGACACUGACGCUGAGGUGCGAAAGCGUGGGUAGCAAACAGGAUUAGAUACCCCGGUAGUC